rnacentral:misc_RNA from 1 species
AAGUCGUAACAAGGUAACCGUAGGUGAACCUGCGGUUGGAUCAUUAAUAAAUUUAAUGAAUUUUGGGUCUUUAUUUUUUAAAGCUCAAUUUUUCAACCAAAAUGUGAAUUUUUAAUUGUCUCUGAUGGGUUAAAACUUUGAGUCUUUUUUUUUUAGACUUUUAGGGAUUUGAAAUAAUCUACCCAUUAUUUUAUAUUAAACCAAGUAUUUUUAAACUUUGCCAAAAACAUUAUUUAAAAUUUAAUUUUAAAACAACUUUUGACAACGGAUCUCUUGGCUCUC